GAAGAAUAGACUCGACUUCCCAAACGCUUAUUUGUUAUCACAUGGGUGUCGCAAUUAGGACACAUUAGGUCAAGAACACAGUUUUACUUCACUCAUUGUGAGCGUACAGCUACUUGUGCAUGCAUGCAGGAAGCUAAAUGACUUUUAUUUAACGGAAAGCAAACAGGAAUACUGAUUAUGCACAACAAAAAUACCUUUAAAGCCACGAAUGGCUCUAAAUAUACAAGAGCUUUGUCUGUACUGUUAAAGGUGUUAAAGCAAGGCAAGUGUAUUUAGCACAUGCAGUGAGACGAAAGUCAGAGAAACACAAAAAUAGACUUUUAUUUAAAUUCAAAAUAUUGCCAGGUAGGUUUCAAAAUAAAAGCAUAAAGUUAGUAUGAAUUAAAGCUCCGAUGGGGAGUUUUUUUAUGUGUAUGAAAUAGACUACAACUCAUAGUUAUGAUUUCUCAUGAUAUCCAAAAGCAAACAAGAUCAUAAAUAACAAGACAGAUGUUUUUUUUAUCACAUUCUUAACACCUGAAACUGGCGUGAGGGGGCGGUGUCGGCUUUGCAAUUGAACAUCUGUUUUUUUUUUUUUUUACAAUUUUCACCUUAAAUUUUCACAAUGAAUGAAUUAAAAUUGUUUGCUGCUGAGUUAGUGUGAAUGUGAACACCUGAAUACGUUGCGUAUAUAUGUUUAAUUAGUGGGACAAAUUUGCUUCAUUUGGAUGUUACAUGAUUUCUGAGUUUAAGAUGCAAGAGAUGAGGGGUUUGCUUCGUGCGUUUUAGACAGUUUUUAUCAAACAUGGUUUAGGUUGACUACAAUGCAAGGAUUUGUUGUGUUUUCGCAAUUCAACAGAUAAUCUGACUCCUGCGAUUUCCUUUAUAUUCCUGUCUUGAUAGAAAAAAAAGAUGUAUAGUAUGGCUAAGAGUAGCUGUUUACCACCUUAAACAGUUUGUCCUUAAUACUGUUGACAAAUGAACCUCAAACAGUCUGUUCAUGACAUAAGUCUAGAUACAGUACAAUACAAUACAUAUGAUUGUCCCAUUGAGGAAAUUUGUCUUGGACUCAAGUGCUGCACAUGCUCCACUGUGUCCUCAAUUUGUCCUACUAAAUACUAACUAAUACUAAAUGAUUAAAACUGUGUUCAAAAGAAGCUGUAACCUACAAACAAUGAACACAAACCAAGGACACCACAACAAACAAGCAACUCAUACAUAUUAUAUUGGAGGGGGUGAGCAGCUUGUGGAGUAGUAAUCAUCCAUUUAUCAUUAUCGAGGUUUAUUGAUUUGAGGCCAUAUCGCCCAGCUUUAACCAGAGGACAGCAUUGUUAGCAAAGGAGCUAGAAAAAUAAGUGCAUUAUGACAUUUUUGGCCGGAGCUCAGACUUUUCAACUCUUGCUGAUGUGCAAACACAGCCAAGAGCGCACAUCACUAAUCUGCAUCGUUUGCACAUCUUAUUCAUCAGUUUACAAAUCCAGCCAUGCAUCACCAUUUGCACUUCUAAACUGAUGCCUAUUAUGUCUUUACACUGCUGCACAUGUGCCAAUAAUUAUUUCAGAAGACCUGACAUUUCAUAGGGGUUUAAAAUUUGACUGCUGCUUAAAGAUGUUGGUUUGAGUCAUCUGGGUCAAAAAGUAGCUCAGUCCAGGACAGCCUGAGUGGCCUGGAUGAUUCAGACUUCUUUUGGCCCUAAACUAAUCUGCUGUAUACCUUCUAGCUCUUUUCUGCUUUUGCUGGUGUUGUAUAAAGGCACAGACAAAGCUGACAUGAGUAAGGUAUUGGAAAACGGACUCACACAUUUCUCUUGGUCUUUAAAUCAGAUUUAUUAAAGUUCUGAAGAUCUAAAAUAACACCCGCCUUAUUCCUCUCAGGGUGCAUGAAUGUAUAACAAAGGACCUGUGAAAAAGAACUUAUAAAUAUACACAAGUAGGCAUUGUGAGAAAGUGAAUUAUAAUAACAGUAAACAAAUGAGAUUACCGUUGAGCAGAAUGAUGGGCUCAGUCUCACACCAUUGGUAUUUAUGAUGCUCAUGUUCCUCGAAAAUGAAAUAGCUUCACUCAUCAAGUGAGGGAAAAACAGGCUGAAGUAUCAAAGCAGGAGCAACACAAUCAGACGGAGGUGAAAACAAAAACAUCUCGGGAGUUUGCAUAUUAGGCAGCAGGUGAUACAUAUUUCAAAAUGAUGAGGUAAACACCAAAGAACCAAAACAAGAGGGAGUCCUGAACACUGUCCUGCUAAAUACGAGGCAUUUCUUUGUGAAAAAGAACAUUUGCAAUUCACCAAAUGCAAAAUCAAGUCAGAUUAGACACCUGUUUUGGUAUGAUUUAAAAGUAUAGAUUGUUAGAUUGCUAUUUUGUAAGGGAAUUAGUAUUUUAGCAAUGUUUUCUUCUAUUUUGGUGCUGUUGAGUUGUUAGGAAGUUAAAUGUUUCAAGACCUUUUGUGAAGAAAUAUCUGUAAAUCAUUAAACCAUCCAAUACACCAUAGUCUCAGGCCAACACGUUUAACUCUCCUUCUUCUAUGUUGCCUCUAAAGAUGCAGAAAACACACACAGGUCUUUUGGGUUCAUAUAAAGUGUCACUAAGAUCACUUUGUUUAUUUAGUGAAGACUAAUUAAAGGUUCUGUCAAGUCAAGAUGAAAAGCUUUUGCCUUUUCUGCUUCUUUGCAUAACGGCACCAUCGUCUCUGUUCCUCUCUGUACACUGUAUAACCAGUGUGUGGUUCAACAGUUGGGGCUGCCGUCACUGAACAGACAUGAGGAGUGAUGGGUUAUUCAUGUGUAACAAACAUGGCAUGUUAGCUCAGGGGCAAUCUUUUGGAAGAAAUGUCAUCCUGCAUCGCAGCGACUGUAGAUGACACGUGCAUUCCUCUGGCAGCGGCAGACCACAACUGCAUUUUCCUGCGCAUAGAGGGAUCCCCGUCGUUCCGAGCUUCAUGUUGGAGAACGCUCAGAGUGGUUACGAGCCAAAGACGAGUAAAGGCAGGGGGGCUUAACCAGCAGCUUACAAACACCGCUCCAAAGCCAUUUCUGACGGCUAUGAUUCAGAUGAAGAAGCCCAGUUACCCCCCGGUGGGCCGAGGCAGAAGAAAAGAGAGCUAGCACAGGCGAUCAAAGAUGCAUCGAUCAGGUCGACUACUCGUAGAGCUCAGUGGAACCUGCUUCUGCUCCAACAGCGCUAAAGUGGAGGCCAAGGCUCUCGAGAGAACAAAGGGAUCUCAGUGGUAUCCAAACGAUUACACAUGGAGUCAUAAGCAUUCUCAAAAGAGUCAAUGGUUGUAUUUCAAACUUCCCUUUUCUCAGACUGUCAAUAAAUCAUUUGUCCACUUGAUACUCAUCAGCACAUGCACAAGCAUUUGGCAUAUCUGUCCCACGUGGUUAUUUAGAUUAGAAAUAGAGGAACUUAAUGUUACAAUACAGUGUUGCUAGUGCACUGCAUGCAAAGCUGCUAUGACGGCGCAGUUUAUGCAUUUUAUGUGACUCCAGAGAUUUACAAUCACUGUAAGAUUUUGGGUCUUUGAUCCCGGCAAGUUUCUCCCAAGCCGCGGCUUCUCAGCGAGUCUUUAACUUUGCAUUUUUGGUUGAGAGCCUUCCCUGCUACUAACGCUGUCAAGUGUGUAAAUUGUUGCACUACCUCCAGUCCCAUUCCUGUACCUGCCUGAGCAGACUGAAUGAUGACGCCUGUCUCGGGUAACAUAAAUAUGGGAAUUGUCAUUCAACAUCUUUUGCACACAGGCAGCCCUGCAGCGAGAAAAAGUACAAACAGAUUCACAUCCUUCUCGGUGCCUGUUAAAUAUUAAGAUUCCUGUAUUAGCCAAAGGGAGACUGUAGGACAAGUUAUUUACUAUUGAAUUCAUAUUGAAGACCAACUAAACCAAUCCCUGUCCGAAGAAUUAACUAUACUUUCUUGCACCAAUUAAAAUAGUUCCUGAUUAAACCCAUACUGUAAAACCAGAACUUUUUGAUUAAAAAACUGAGAGUAGUAUUUUUCUUUGCUUUCUUUAAUGUUUAAGUGAGAUAACAGCAAACAUUUAGGGGAUACAGCAGGACACCUGUGCUUAACAAUUUAAUUCGAAUCAAUGAAAAACUGUUCUGCUUUUACAGAGGAAAACCAGUUUUAUGUAAAUGAAUGAAUGAAUUCAUGAAAUUUAUUUUGGUUAUACAUUACAUUAUGAUGAACAAACAUUACAAUUUGUGUGAAUCUAAAACUACCAAAAACAAAAUACAAAAUAAAAUAUUAUAUAUGUUCUCUUUGAUUUCACACAAUAUCAUCAACACAUUAAUUUAACCAAAAAAAUAGCAGGCUGACGACCAAACCUCUCCUAAAUUGAUGAGCCCAAAAGGCGAUAGCAGGUAGACUUCAAUGUAUAAUCUAUCAUUGUAUACUUAAAACACAUGAUGGUGUCCCACAAGGGUCCAUAUUGGGUCCUAUUUUUUUUACAAUUGACAUUUUUUCAUUUAUAUGCUGAUGAUAUGAUCAUGUAUACUUCUAAUUAUGACCAAUAAGCUUCUUUUAAUAUUGUCUGGAUGAAUCUAAUCCUGGCUUUAAUAUCCAUCAAGACCAAAAUGGUGUUCUUCUCAAGGUCUAAGAUAAUUUAUUAAUGAGAAAUUCAUAAUGAGCGUGUUACUUAGAGAGCUGAAGGUGAAACUGGGUUGAAUCAAAACCUAUGUACUUCCAGUACUCUCUGAAUGACUGCAUUCUUUAUAUGCAUACUAUCUCCUUUGCAAUGUUGGACCAAACUGCAUUGUGAUUGCCUCUCAUCGAGGUUUUCUGCACAAAUCCGUCUUGUACAAGAAAGUAGAGCUGUCUCCCUUACAUAAGAGAAGAAAAGCUGUCAGUGGCUGUAGCCUUCAGUCUCAUGGACGCAUCGUGGAUGUCAGCUCUUCAACUUCUAUCUUUGGAAAAAGGACUUAAAAGUUUCUACUCCAUCAUCCGGGUCUGGGUUACACUGUUAUCUAAAACUGGAUUGUGUAUGUCUGUAUGUGUAAAUUUGCAGGGUUCUGUUUGACCAGUUUGUUUAAUCUAGCUGCCUUCUUUUUUGUGCCAAACCUUGGUAACAUUAGCUAUUUAUAGUGACUCAAAACCAGCUGUAUUGGCUUACAUCUACUCAUAACACAGGGAUUACAUUACUGUACUACUAGGACCAAUUUAUGACCACUUACAGUGACUGUAAUAGUGUUUGUAGAAUGGCAAUAUAUCACAAGUAUGAAAGUUUCAUUACACUUUAAAUAGUGACUGGUCAGCAAACAUAUUGUAUUGACACCCAAUCUUUAAAAUACGUGAUUAUUUACUUUCAUAGUCAUUUACUAAUAAUUAUAGCUAUAUGCUCAUACGAACACAUAAAUAUGGUUAUGAUUCAUAAUAAACAAACAUCACAACAAGGUAUGACAGCUGUAUGAAGCAUUAUUAUGAUCCUAAGGGUUUAUAACUAUGAUUGUGCAGCGUUAUAAGUAUGUUAUAAUGCAUUAUGAGUGUGUUUGUAAUGUGCUAUGAUGCAUUACUGUCCC